rnacentral:rRNA from 1 species
UACGUAGGGGGCAAGCGUUAUCCGGAUUUACUGGGUGUAAAGGGAGCGUAGGCGGCUUAGUAAGUCAGAAGUGAAAGCCCGCAGCUCAACUGCGGGACUGCAUUGGAAACUAUGUAACUAGAGUACCGGAGAGGUAAGCGGAAUUCCUAGUGUAGCGGUGAAAUGCGUAGAUAUUAGGAGGAACACCAGUGGCGAAGGCGGCUUACUGGACGGAAACUGACGUUGAGGCUCGAAAGCGUGGGGAGCAAACAGG